rnacentral:snoRNA from 1 species
UUUCCCAUCUGACUACCACAUUUUCUCCUAAUAAUAGAUUUUAGUGGCUAUGCUUGUGGGACAGAUUAAAAUUGCCAUGAUCUGAAGAGGGAAGGGUUUUUCAGUGUCCUCCUUCUGUGUGUAAUGGCUGAACAGAAAAUU